UUUUAACCCAAUUUAUACAUGCAAGUAUCCGCGCCCCCGUGAGAAUGCCCUCAAUCCCCCGCCCGGGGACAAGGAGCUGGCAUCAGGCACACCCCAUUAGCCCAAGACGCCUUGCUUAGCCACACCCUCAAGGGCCUUCAGCAGUAAUAAACAUUAAGCCAUAAGUGAAAACUUGACUUAAUUAGGGCUAAGAGGGUCGGUAAAAUUCGUGCCAGCCACCGCGGUUAUACGAAAGACCCUAAUUUAUAGACACGGCGUAAAGGGUGGUUAGGGGACAAGUAAAAUAAAGCCAAAGACCUCCUAAGCCGUCAUACGCUCACGAAUGCACGAAGUCCAAACACGAAAGUAGCUUUACUAAACAUGCCCGACUCCACGAAAGCUAGGAAACAAACUGGGAUUAGAUACCCCACUAUGCCUAGCCCUAAACCUAGAUAAUGUUUUACAAAAUUAUCCGCCAGGGGACUACAAGCACAGCUUAAAACCCAAAGGACUUGGCGGUGCCUCAGACCCACCUAGAGGAGCCUGUUCUAGAACCGAUAACCCCCGUUAAACCUCACCACCUCUUGGUUUUCCCCGCCCUAUAUACCGGCCGGUCGUCAGCUUUACCCUGGUGGAAGGUUCAACAGUAAGCAAAAUGGGCUAAGCCCAAAACGUCAGGGUCGAGGUGUAGCGCACGAGGUGGGAAGAAAUGGGCUACAUUUUCUACCACAGAACAUAACGAAUAGCGCCCUGAAACAUGGCACCUGAAGGAGGAUUUAGUAGUAAAAAGCAAAUAGAGUGUCCUUUUGAAUCAGGCUCUGAGGCGCGCACACACCGCCCGUCACCCUCCCCUUUCACCUAUUACCAAUAUACCUAAUCUUAUAUCCAGAACUAUGGGGAGGCAAGUCGUAACAUGGUAAGUGUACCGGAAGGUGCACUUGGAAUAAC
rnacentral:ncRNA from 1 species